rnacentral:rRNA from 1 species
CCCUUAGAUGUUCUGGGCCGCACGCGUGCUACACUGAGUGGAUCAGCGGGUCAGGUUGCGCGAAAGCGUUUCCUAAUCUUGAAAUCCGCUCGUGAUGGGGAUUGACGGUUGCAAUUUUCUGUCAUGAACGAGGAAUACCUUGUAAGCGCGAGUCAUCAUCCCGUGCUGAAUACGUCCCUGCCCUUUGUACACACCGCCCGUCGCUCCUACCGAUUGAGUGGUCCGGUGAGGCUUUGGGAUCUGAGCGGAAAGAGCGUUUCGCUCGUUCUGCCCGGAAAACUCAGUCGAACCUUAUCAUUUAGAGGAAGGAGAAGUCGUAACA